CCUACGGGGAGGCAGCAGUGGGGAAUAUUGGACAAUGGGGGCAACCCUGAUCCAGCCAUGCCGCGUGUGUGAAGAAGGCCCUCGGGUUGUAAAGCACUUUCAGUGAGGAAGAACGCCUGGUGGUUAAUACCCAUCAGGAAAGACAUCACUCACAGAAGAAGCACCGGCUAACUCCGUGCCAGCAGCCGCGGUAAUACGGAGGGUGCGAGCGUUAAUCGGAAUUACUGGGCGUAAAGCGCGCGUAGGUGGCUUGAUAAGCCGGUUGUGAAAGCCCCGGGCUCAACCUGGGAACGGCAUCCGGAACUGUCAAGCUAGAGUGCAGGAGAGGAAGGUAGAAUUCCCGGUGUAGCGGUGAAAUGCGUAGAGAUCGGGAGGAAUACCAGUGGCGAAGGCGGCCUUCUGGACUGACACUGACACUGAGGUGCGAAAGCGUGGGUAGCAAACAGGAUUAGAUACCCCAGUAGUC
rnacentral:rRNA from 1 species